rnacentral:tRNA from 1 species
GGGGGUGUAGCUCAGUCCGGUAGAGCAGCGGAUUUUGAUUCCGCGUGUCGAAGGUUCAAAUCCUUCCGCCCUUGCCA